rnacentral:rRNA from 1 species
GAUGAACGCUGGCGGCGUGCCUAAUACAUGCAAGUCGAGCGAACAGACGAGGAGCUUGCUCCUCUGACGUUAGCGGCGGACGGGUGAGUAACACGUGGAUAACCUACCUAUAAGACUGGGAUAACUUCGGGAAACCGGAGCUAAUACCGGAUAAUAUAUUGAACCGCAUGGUUCAAUAGUGAAAGACGGUUUUGCUGUCACUUAUAGAUGGAUCCGCGCCGCAUUAGCUAGUUGGUAAGGUAACGGCUUACCAAGGCAACGAUGCGUAGCCGACCUGAGAGGGUGAUCGGCCACACUGGAACUGAGACACGGUCCAGACUCCUACGGGAGGCAGCAGUAGGGAAUCUUCCGCGAUGGGCGAAAGCCUGACGGAGCAACGCCGCGUGAGUGAUGAAGGUCUUCGGAUCGUAAAACUCUGUUAGUAGGGAGGAACAAAUGUGUAAGUAACUAUGCACGUCUUGACGGUACCUAGUCAGAAAGCCACGGCUAACUACGUG